rnacentral:rRNA from 1 species
UUAAGGGCGCACGGUGGAUGCCUUGGCACUAGAAGCCGAUGAAGGACGUUACUAACGACGAUAUGCUUUGGGGAGCUGUAAGUAAGCUUUGAUCCAGAGAUUUCCGAAUGGGGAAACCCAGCAUGAGUUAUGUCAUGUUAUCGAUAUGUGAAUACAUAGCAUAUCAGAAGGCACACCCGGAGAACUGAAACAUCUUAGUACCCGGAGGAAGAGAAAGAAAAUUCGAUUCCCUUAGUAGCGGCGAGCGAAACGGGAAGAGCCCAAACCAACAAGCUUGCUUGUUGGGGUUGUAGGACACUCUAUACGGAGUUACAAAGGACGACAUUAGACGAAUCAUCUGGAAAGAUGAAUCAAAGAAGGUAAUAAUCCUGUAGUCGAAAAUGUUGUCUCUCUUGAGUGGAUCCUGAGUACGACGGAGCACGUGAAAUUCCGUCGGAAUCUGGGAGGACCAUCUCCUAAGGCUAAAUACUCUCUAGUGACCGAUAGUGAACCAGUACCGUGAGGGAAAGGUGAAAAGCACCCCGGAAGGGGAGUGAAAUAGAACCUGAAACCGUGUGCUUACAAGUAGUCAGAGCCCGUUAAUGGGUGAUGGCGUGCCUUUUGUAGAAUGAACCGGCGAGUUACGAUUUGAUGCAAGGUUAAGCAGUAAAUGUGGAGCCGUAGCGAAAGCGAGUCUGAAUAGGGCGUUUAGUAUUUGGUCGUAGACCCGAAACCAGGUGAUCUACCCUUGGUCAGGUUGAAGUUCAGGUAACACUGAAUGGAGGACCGAACCGACUUACGUUGAAAAGUGAGCGGAUGAACUGAGGGUAGCGGAGAAAUUCCAAUCGAACCUGGAGAUAGCUGGUUCUCUCCGAAAUAGCUUUAGGGCUAGCCUCAAGUGAUGAUUAUUGGAGGUAGAGCACUGUUUGGACGAGGGGCCCCUCUCGGGUUACCGAAUUCAGACAAACUCCGAAUGCCAAUUAAUUUAACUUGGGAGUCAGAACAUGGGUGAUAAGGUCCGUGUUCGAAAGGGAAACAGCCCAGACCACCAGCUAAGGUCCCAAAAUAUAUGUUAAGUGGAAAAGGAUGUGGCGUUGCCCAGACAACUAGGAUGUUGGCUUAGAAGCAGCCAUCAUUUAAAGAGUGCGUAAUAGCUCACUAGUCGAGUGACACUGCGCCGAAAAUGUACCGGGGCUAAACAUAUUACCGAAGCUGUGGAUUGUCCUUUGGACAAUGGUAGGAGAGCGUUCUAAGGGCGUUGAAGCAUGAUCGUAAGGACAUGUGGAGCGCUUAGAAGUGAGAAUGCCGGUGUGAGUAGCGAAAGACGGGUGAGAAUCCCGUCCACCGAUUGACUAAGGUUUCCAGAGGAAGGCUCGUCCGCUCUGGGUUAGUCGGGUCCUAAGCUGAGGCCGACAGGCGUAGGCGAUGGAUAACAGGUUGAUAUUCCUGUACCACCUAUAAUCGUUUUAAUCGAUGGGGGGACGCAGUAGGAUAGGCGAAGCGUGCGAUUGGAUUGCACGUCUAAGCAGUAAGGCUGAGUAUUAGGCAAAUCCGGUACUCGUUAAGGCUGAGCUGUGAUGGGGAAAAGACAUUGUGUCUUCGAGUCGUUGAUUUCACACUGCCGAGAAAAGCCUCUAGAUAGAAAAUAGGUGCCCGUACCGCAAACCGACACAGGUAGUCAAGAUGAGAAUUCUAAGGUGAGCGAGCGAACUCUCGUUAAGGAACUCGGCAAAAUGACCCCGUAACUUCGGGAGAAGGGGUGCUCUUUAGGGUUAACGCCCAGAAGAGCCGCAGUGAAUAGGCCAAAGCGACUGUUUAUCAAAAACACAGGUCUCUGCUAAACCGUAAGGUGAUGUAUAGGGGCUGACGCCUGCCCGGUGCUGGAAGGUUAAGAGGAGUGGUUAGCUUCUGCGAAGCUACGAAUCGAAGCCCCAGUAAACGGCGGCCGUAACUAUAACGGUCCUAAGGUAGCGAAAUUCCUUGUCGGGUAAGUUCCGACCCGCACGAAAGGCGUAACGAUUUGGGCACUGUCUCAACGAGAGACUCGGUGAAAUCAUAGUACCUGUGAAGAUGCAGGUUACCCGCGACAGGACGGAAAGACCCCGUGGAGCUUUACUGUAGCCUGAUAUUGAAAUUCGGCACAGCUUGUACAGGAUAGGUAGGAGCCUUUGAAACGUGAGCGCUAGCUUACGUGGAGGCGCUGGUGGGAUACUACCCUAGCUGUGUUGGCUUUCUAACCCGCACCACUUAUCGUGGUGGGAGACAGUGUCAGGCGGGCAGUUUGACUGGGGCGGUCGCCUCCUAAAAGGUAACGGAGGCGCUCAAAGGUUCCCUCAGAAUGGUUGGAAAUCAUUCAUAGAGUGUAAAGGCAUAAGGGAGCUUGACUGCGAGACCUACAAGUCGAGCAGGGUCGAAAGACGGACUUAGUGAUCCGGUGGUUCCGCAUGGAAGGGCCAUCGCUCAACGGAUAAAAGCUACCCCGGGGAUAACAGGCUUAUCUCCCCCAAGAGUUCACAUCGACGGGGAGGUUUGGCACCUCGAUGUCGGCUCAUCGCAUCCUGGGGCUGUAGUCGGUCCCAAGGGUUGGGCUGUUCGCCCAUUAAAGCGGUACGCGAGCUGGGUUCAGAACGUCGUGAGACAGUUCGGUCCCUAUCCGUCGUGGGCGUAGGAAAUUUGAGAGGAGCUGUCCUUAGUACGAGAGGACCGGGAUGGACAUACCUCUGGUGUACCAGUUGUCGUGCCAACGGCAUAGCUGGGUAGCUAUGUGUGGACGGGAUAAGUGCUGAAAGCAUCUAAGCAUGAAGCCCCCCUCAAGAUGAGAUUUCCCAACUUCGGUUAUAAGAUCCCUCAAAGAUGAUGAGGUUAAUAGGUUCGAGGUGGAAGCAUGGUGACAUGUGGAGCUGACGAAUACUAAUCGAUCGAAGACUUAAUC